AUGUUCGAGGAGAUGGCCGCCGAUUCCAGCAUGGGCAUGGGGAUGGGCUUCCACCAGGGGGCCUCCUCCUUGCACCACCACCACCAUAACAUGCUCUCCUUCCAAUCCAAUCCCGAUUCCGCUCCCGCCCCCGCCCCCGCGCCCCCUGCCCCUCCCGUCUUCCUCCCCUCCCCCAACGCUCCCGUGCUCCAGGGGGCGCCGCCCAAGUACAAGUUCGUCACCGGCUCACCCUCCGACUGGACCCCCUAUGAGCUCUCCAUAUUCCAGGAGGGCCUCGCCAGGUAUGCUCGUGAGCCCACCAUUAUGAAAUACAUCAAGAUUGCUGCUAUGCUGCCCACUAAGACCAUCAGGGACGUCGCGUUGAGAUGCCGGUGGACUGCUGGAAAGGAGAGUAGGAGGAGGAAACCUGAUGAAUUCUAUGCUGGGAAAAGGAUAAGGGACUUGAAGGAGAAAAUGAUUGUUUCUACCUCACUAGCUAACUUUCAGAUGGCACCUCCAAAUAAUUUAGUCCCCUUCUCGAUGUCGAUGCAUCAUCCAGGUCAGAAUAGCCUGGCUGCAAAUGAAGUCCUCGUUUUAGAUAAUGCAACUCAGCAUCUUCUGGAGGAAAAUAACCAGUUACUCAAUCAGAUCUCUGCAAAUAUUGAAACUUUCAAGCUGGGGGAGAACAUGGAUCUCUUUGUACGUACGAAUAACAAUAUUCGAACAAUUUUGAAAAGAAUGGGUGAGACGCCUGGUGUCAUGGGUCAGAUGCGUCCCUUGCCAGAACCUGUAAAUGAAGGCCAACUAAAUUCACUUCUUCAACUGGAUAGAGUGGUUGCCUCUUAUGGCGAUAUACUACAUAACACUUGUAUGAAGGAUGAAGCAUGA
rnacentral:rRNA from 1 species